AGAAGGAAAAGAAGGAUAAGAGAUACACUGUGAAUCCCUACAAAGUCGAAGCGAUCAUGCAUGCUACAUAUAAGAACGGUUGAUGAAGCUAUCCAAACUCAGAAAAAAACAAAGAACAAAAACUUGGCUUCAUGAAGCCAAUGAACCAGAAAACUAUAAAACCAAGGAACUAGAUACAGGGGUCAGUUCAUCAUCUGGAAGUGGGGUGAGUUCAUCAUUUGGAAGUGAGGUUAAUUCAUCAUUUGGAAGUGAG
rnacentral:lncRNA from 1 species